CUCCCAAUUUGGAGGUACUGUGGCUCAGUAAGGAAGAAGCCAUGGAAAUUGAGCAAGGAAAACUUCCUGUUGACCUCCAAGGAAUAAACUACAUCAAUUUGCACGGCUUUCUUGAUGAAUUAGACAUAUUUCCAUUUGGUUUCCAUUCAAAGGUGAUACUACACAGAAUUGAAAAGCUUCGGGUGGUUGAUAGUGCCUUCAAAGAGAUAUUCCCCUCUCAAAGGCCUCACAUAGCUCAUACUGAAAUCCUUUCACAGCUUAAAGGAUUGGAGCUUCAGAGUCUGUCCCAGCUUGAAUCAAUAGGGUUAGAGCAUUCCUGGGUUGGCCCAUUCCUUGAAAAUCUUGAAACAUUACUUGUUUCUGCAUGCAAUUGUUUGACAAACUUGAUUCCAUCAUCCACUUUGUCUUUCUGCAAUCUGACACAGCUUAAUGUAAAGGAUUGUGGUGGAUUGAAAUAUUUGUUCACAUCCUCAACCGCCAAAACAUGGCCUAAACUGAAGGAGAUGUGUGUAGCCAACUGUGAAUCAAUAAAAGAAAUAGUGUUAACAAAGGGCAAGGAACAAGCUAUAGAUGAUAUGAUAAUAUUCGAGCAGCUUAAGAUUUUGACUCUUAGCUCGUUGCCAGAACUUGAAUGCUUUUACUCGGGGAGUUCCUCUUUGCAUUUCCCAUCCUUGCAAGUAGUGUUGAUCACCCGUUGCCACAGCAUGAAAUGUUUCUGUUAUGCUGCCUAUGAUCAAACAUAUCAUGUGUCGAUGCUAAUAGACGGUGCAUGGUAUUUUGAAGGAGAUAUAAAUAAUAUAAUCAAAAAAAAAGUGGGAGAAUACAACAGAGGAUGCUGAUGAACAAUGAGUCAGUAUAAUGACAGAUUCCCAUGACUUGAAAAUUAUAGUUGUCUUGUUUUUCAAGAAGCAACAGAGCUGAAUACAUGGAAUGUUGGUUCAACGGGACUCAGUGCAAUUAGAUGAUAAGUGGAUAACAUCAUGACAACAACUAUUGGCAAAGUGAGGGCUUUUCUUUUCUUGUGGAGUGUUGUGCUCAUGAAUAAAGUUUACCUGUAUAUGCUUACAGGAAGUGUGCUUUUGAAGUUGCUGAAUAAAGCUGUCCUGUAUUUUUAUACAGGAGGUGAGGUGUGCUUAGGGAUUGAGAAGGAUCGGAAAUCUCUUGAAACGAUAAAAGUAACUUGUUCCACAAGUAAGCGUAUUGGUAAAGCUUCAAGAGGUGCCCAGAUUCCCGGUGAGUCCUCACUAGGCAGGGACACGACACGUGGCCGAGGCAGUUGACAGAUUGGAUUUGGAGUGGCUGUAGGCUACUACCUUUUUGGAGUGUUUGAUGUAUUUUAGUAUUUUCGCAUUUGAUGGAUCAUGAUAUUGAUCCUUUAUUGUGUAUAUGGCCUGUAUAUGUUUUGUACAUGUCUGUCGCUUUGAUGCAUGUACAUUUGGGUAUUCAGGCACGUUAUAUGAUGAGGUAGUAUUCAGAUAUGUUUAUGUGUUGGAUUGCAUGAUGUUAGAUAUAGUGGCACUGAGCCAAGUUAUGCAUGCGCCCAUGGAUGGGCAUUUGAUUAUAUUUGUAUAAACUGUUUAUCAGGAAUGCUUCUGUGAGGGAUUGGAAAAUCCCCAGUUGUCCGAUUUAUAGAGGAAACUCUGCCCGAUUUUCG